GGUAUAUGCAUGCAGUUAGGACUGCAACUGAGAUGAGACAAGUUCAGCACCAUGGUGUUUAAACUAGGUUCAUUUAAUUCUAAAUCUUGCUUGGAUCAACAUUGGGUUCAAAAAAUUGUUCAAGUUUGUUUCAUUAAUUUCAAAAAGCACUAGCCUUAUUAUUUAAUUAAAUUUAUAGAACUUCAACAUUAUGUUUGAUUCAGGAGAGUUUUUUUAUUUUAGAUAUAUUAGUAACAAUUUCAUUGAUAGAAAUCAAUUCACAAGCAAUUUUAUGUUUAUAUUUCUCCACUCUAAACGAU
rnacentral:misc_RNA from 1 species